UACGUAGGGGGCUAGCGUUGUCCGGAAUCAUUGGGCGUAAAGCGCGUGUAGGCGGUCUGAUAAGUCUGCUGUGAAAGUCUAGGGCUCAACCCUGGAAAGCCGGUGGAUACUGUCAGACUAGAGUGCGGAAGAGGCGAGUGGAAUUCCUGGUGUAGCGGUGAAAUGCGCAGAUAUCAGGAGGAACACCAAUUGCGAAGGCAGCUCGCUGGGACGUUACUGACGCUGAGACGCGAAAGCGUGGGGAGCGAACAGG
rnacentral:rRNA from 1 species